CACACUGCCGAGAAAAGCCUCUAGAUAGAAAAUAGGUGCCCGUACCGCAAACCGACACAGGUAGUCAAGAUGAGAAUUCUAAGGUGAGCGAGCGAACUCUCGUUAAGGAACUCGGCAAAAUGACCCCGUAACUUCGGGAGAAGGGGUGCUCUUUAGGGUUAACGCCCAGAAGAGCCGCAGUGAAUAGGCCCAAGCGACUGUUUAUCAAAAACACAGGUCUCUGCUAAACCGUAAGGUGAUGUAUAGGGGCUGACGCCUGCCCGGUGCUGGAAGGUUAAGAGGAGUGGUUAGCUUCUGCGAAGCUACGAAUCGAAGCCCCAGUAAACGGCGGCCGUAACUAUAACGGUCCUAAGGUAGCGAAAUUCCUUGUCGGGUAAGUUCCGACCCGCACGAAAGGCGUAACGAUUUGGGCACUGUCUCAACGAGAGACUCGGUGAAAUCAUAGUACCUGUGAAGAUGCAGGUUACCCGCGACAGGACGGAAAGACCCCGUGGAGCUUUACUGUAGCCUGAUAUUGAAAUUCGGCACAGCUUGUACAGGAUAGGUAGGAGCCUUUGAAACGUGAGCGCUAGCUUACGUGGAGGCGCUGGUGGGAUACUACCCUAGCUGUGUUGGCUUUCUAACCCGCACCACUUAUCGUGGUGGGAGACAGUGUCAGGCGGGCAGUUUGACUGGGGCGGUCGC
rnacentral:rRNA from 1 species